GUUAUUUAUUCGAAUGAUUUAUGACAAUCUAUUAGAUGACUUAUUAGUACUGUCUUCAGUAGAAUACUACUACUGUUUUUUUUUUGCUGCUGUUUUCCGGAGAAUAAUGGCCAAAAAGGAAAAACAAUGUGUUAGCCUCCUAAGUGGUCUGACGUUAUGAAAUGAGAGCUACUUUUCCAUCUACAUUGGCCACUAGUGGUUGGAGGACUAAAUCACCUCGAGUUCAACGUUUAAAUUGACUGGAAAAUAACGAUACAUUUUGCGACUGAAUACACACUAGCUGACUACCGAUGUUCAUUACAAUUUAAGUUAUCAUGGGGAAAGUCAAGAGGAAGCAGUGGAGUGAGGUGGACAUUUUUCUAUGCCAUGGAGGACUGUGGGGCAGGGAUGGCUAUCCACCAGGCUGCCAAGGUGCAUGGUGUACCUCUGCAGACCCUGGUGGACAGGCUGAGCAGCCGGGUGACCCAUGGUUGUAGCAGUGGACCACCCACAUUGCUUGCACCAGAGGAUGAAAAUGAUCUGGUGCAGUACUGUAUCUACUGCACCAGCCAUGGGUUCCCCUUCACCAGACAGAGGCUGAUGAAGUACGCAGUACUGGUUCCACUGCAGGUGUGUGCUGUGACUUCUGCCAACACUGGUUCCACUGCAGGUGUGUGCUGUGACUUCUGCCAACACUGGUUCCACUGCAGGUGUGUGCUGUGACUUCUGCCAACACUGGUUCCACUGCAGGUGUGUGCUGUGACUUC
rnacentral:lncRNA from 1 species